UACGUAGGUGGCAAGCGUUGUCCGGAUUUACUGGGCGUAAAGAGCGCGCAGGCGGUCGUUCAAGUCGCGUGUGAAAGCCCCCCGGCUCAACUGGGGAGGGUCACGCGAUACUGAUCGACUCGAAGGCAGGAGAGGGAAGUGGAAAUUCCCGGUGUAGUGGUGAAAUGCGUAGAUAUCGGGAGGAACACCAGUGGCGAAGGCGACUUCCUGCCUGUUCUUGACGCUGAGGCGCGAAAGCUAGGGGAGCAAACGGG
rnacentral:rRNA from 1 species